CCGGGUGUUUGCUCCCUCUACCCUCCACGCCUCACUCCUAAAACCCUGCCAGCUGGAGUCCAGCACAGCAAGCUUCCUAACUGCCGGCUAGCAGCGGAGAGCUUCUUCCCGUCUCCAGGGAUCGUGCCAGUAGGAGCGCUGAUCCUUAAAGUAACUCCCAGGGACAUUUUGAACUUGUUUCUUCCAAAGGGAGCUCUGACUGGUUGGAACGUACUUCAGGCUUGAUCCUGUCACAGCUUCACAUGAGGCAGGAUCCUGAAAAGAAUGGAGAGAAAUGUCUGAACUCAGUUCCCAACUAUGGCACUAGACACUUGUGAGUGUCUUCACAUGCCUUUGGCUGAGCUCCAGGCAUGGCUGGAUAAAGCAGAGAUGGAAAAGCUUCAGCUGUAUUAUAUUCCCAGAGUCACAAAGACAGGUUUUUGCUUUGUUCUGAAUCCCUCUCAGAAGAAAAAUCCGUUUUUCU